GACUAUUAGUAAAGAAUGGAGGGAUUCGGAAAAGCAAAAGCGAUAUAACAAAGAAUAACAAUAAACUAGUGAUGAACAAAUGAAAGGAAUGUGUUUAUACUUGUACACUGCACACUCAUCAUUUCUUCAUUAAAUUGUUCGGACAACUUUAAGAAAUUUGAUACCUUAGAGUUAUAGUUAGAUUACAGAGAUAUCCAUUGUCGCUCAACCACCAUUAUAUUCAAAUUAUUAGAUUCCACAGGAGUUAAUCUACCUUAUAAUGUUAAUUAUUAUUUUGAAGUUUUGGUUUCUGACAAUGAUGGCAUUAGCUAAAAGAAAGAAGCAUAUUUGAAGUGUGAUGUGUUUACAAUUGCAUAGGAUAUUAAUUCAAGAAAUACAGAUCACAUGCUGCCAAUAUUUCUCUCAAGUCCUAACCAUUUUGUGUUGUUUGUUGGGGAAGCAUUUUCUUGUGGAUUUCAUAAAUGUUUGUAUUUCAGACCUACUGUGAAGUCCCACCCAACUGAAUUUACUAUGGCCCAUUAAAGAUGGGUAGGUGAAGCAUGUGGAUGCCUCCAAAAAAAUUGUCAUUGACCAGUAUUGUCAUGAGGGGUUGUGGGUCACACAUUAUCAAAACUGUAUCAUGUCAAUGCUCAGUCACAUAUACAACCAAUGAUGCUUACCUCAAGCAGGUUGGCCAUUCCUAGUACAUCUGCCCUUUGUCUACGGUUCCUCUUUCCCCCUCCUUGCUAAAAUAUUACAUGUAUACUAGUAGAUAUGCGUUAAGCUUUAUGGCAUUGUUUGUUGCAUCCAAGAUCAAGACUUAUUUAGUCAACAAAAGAAAAAUCUAUAGAGUUUAACAAUUAACAAUCUAAACAUGUUAAGAAUCUUUCCUAUUAUUUAAGAGGAAAAACGCGUCAUUUCUCAAGUAUUGAAAUUUAUCAUCAUUUUUUAUUCUUUUAUAGACUUGAGUGUCGAAGUCUUAAUCUUGCAGGUCAGCCUUCUCUCCACUGCAUCGAAACUUCAAGUCCAUCGUAGUAAUCACUACAUCACCCAUCAAAGAAUUUUGGUUUUCCUACAAAACAAUGGCGAUGUCCGUGGGAACUGAAAUCUAAUUCUCACAGAUUUUUACAUUCAAAUCUCCUAUAUAGAUACAAAUCUCAUCUCUAGAAGUUCAAAUCUCUGUUUAAUGACCUUCUUCCUCGAAUCUAAACCUCAUUUCCAACAAAUCCUUCUUCAAAUUCAUCAACCAUGGUGGCAUCCAAAGUCAUUUGCUCCUCCAUUCAACAAAAAGUCGACGCCUCGUUGUUGAAACUAUUGAAGAUACGCUUUCUCCUCAUCAAACUGAAGACAAUUCAAUCUUGGUAGCAUCUCUAUCCAAUCUUCGCAACAUGAUCAUGUUCAAUCGAGAGCCGGUCAAGGAGUAUUCCAAUUUCGGAUCCACAUAACAAUUUCAUCAAGACAAACCUUCACAUAUAUAUCCGUCACUACAUGUGAUUCCCCGACAAGAAACGCUCAUGUCCUUUAGUAUAUACAUGCUAACUUCGGAGCAAGGAGCUAUUGAUCUGUUGAACAAUGUUUACAGUCUGGUGCAAGAGAAAAAUUCAAUUUUUUUGGAUGAAAAACUGCUUAAAAGGAUUAAGAGACUGGUUGAGAGAAGGGAAAUGUAUGAAUAAAUGAUGUUGAAGCAUGUUUAAAAGGAUUAAGAGACUGGUUGAGAGAAUCUUCAGAACCUUGAUCUUCAGAGUCUUGACAUAGUUCCUCAAAACCUGGUUUUCAGAGUCUUUAGAUCUUGUUCUUCAGAGUUUUACAAACUUGAGAGUGCAGAAUAUUGAAGGCUUGACACACCUUCAGAGGCUUUUCUAUUAGAGUCAUGAUCGCGACUUUAUGAGUCUAUCGGGGUACUAACUGCAAGUGCACAGUCUAAUCGCGUAGUUUUAAAAGAUAUCGAUCCCACAGGGACUUAAUGAAUCGAUUCUACCGUUUUUCUAGGGUUACUGCGUAAAGUUAAGGCGGAUGAUACUUUAAUGAUUAGGGGAAAAGUAAAACUAAAUUUGGAUCUAGAUAAAAUAUCAAAUUAUAUGGAUAUCAGUAUGUAGUUCGUCGUAAUAAGGGAAUCAAAUCUUCGUUGGUCUUUUUCUUAAUUUUAAAAUAAGUCUUUUC
rnacentral:lncRNA from 1 species